GACAGAGGGAUGCAAGCGUUAUCCGGAAUGAUUGGGCGUAAAGGCGUCUGAGUAGGUGGCUUUUUAAGGUUCCGCCGUCAAAUCCCAAGGGCUCAACCCUGGACAGGCGGUGGAAACUACCAAGUCUGGAGUACGGUAAGGGGCAGAGGGAAUUUCCGGUGGAGCGGUGAAAUGACGUAGAGAUCGGGAAAAGAACACCAACGGCGAAAGCAACUCUCGCUGGGGACCGGACACUGACCACUGAGAGACGAAAGCUAGGGGAGCGAAUGGGG
rnacentral:rRNA from 1 species